UGGGGGAUUUUGCACAAUGGGCGCAAGCCUGAUGCAGCGACGCCGCGUGAGGGAUGAAGGCCUUCGGGUUGUAAACCUCUUUCGCUGGGUUGAAAGGCCAUGCUUUGGGUGUGGUUGAUUUGAACUGGUAAAGAAGUACCGGCUAACUACGUGCCAGCAGCCGCGGUAAUACGUAGGGUACUAGCGUUGUCCGGAUUUAUUGGGCGUAAAGGGCUUGAAGGUGGUUUGUCGCGUCUGUCGUGAAAUCCUGUGGCUUAACCAUGGGCUUGCGGUGGGUACGGGCAGGCUUGAGUGCGGUAGGGGAGACUGGAAUUCCUGGUGUAGCGGUGGAAUGCGCAGAUAUCAGGAGGAACACCGGUGGCGAAGGCGGGUCUCUGGGCCGUUACUGACACUGAGGAGCGAAAGCGUGGGGAGCGAACAGG
rnacentral:rRNA from 1 species